UGGUUGUUAUGCAGGAGAAGAAAUGAAAUAGUUCAGUGAAUUAGCCCAAACAAGAUACGCACUGGGAUUGGUCUCUAGAGAUUCAAAAUACCGAAAUCAAUGCUUUUAGGCUUAUCGUACUUUUUAUUUAAUAGAGAAAUGCCUGAUCUGGGACUGCCGCGCAUCCCAAAGACAGCACAAAGACGUAAUUUUUUUCAGAGAGUGCCCUGAGGGUAACAGGAAGAAUUACAGAAAGCUUCAAACCGCUCCGCUCCCACAAGUAUCCCCACACUCUGGACUUUCACUUCAGCAACAAAGCGCAACCAGCGAGGAAUUUGUGGUGGUUGCUGAGGACGUGGACUGGUGUCACAAAGCACAGUGCUAACUGCCUCACCAGCCCAGCACUGUCCUGGAAAAGCAUGGUCCGAUAUUGGUGAGAGGAGGCCCAGGCUCAGACCACACAGUGCCUUGGGCCUCAGCACAGUUCAGUGCUGUGUACCCACUCCUGGGGCCCUCCAGAGGGCCCUGCGACUGCAACGGGAAAUUAUUUGUCCUAGCAACUGUCCCCAUGGUCAGGUUUCACCUCAAAGAGAUGUACCAAUGACAACUGGAGGACGGAGAGGUGACACCAAAACCUGACACCUACAAAAGGCACACACUGAGCAAUGACUGAAAGCAGAGAAAAGCACAGAAUCCAAUGGAAGUAGUUGUUUCAGCAGUCCGUGGGCACUGUAAUUUCAUAAACAAUGAACUACAGGAACACAAAUGAACACUAUGGGAAAAGAAACCUCUCGCAUUUUUUUUUCACUGCAGUAAAGUACAGACCACCAAGAACAGCUUGAUUCAAAUACCCAGCAUUAGUUCCCACAUGAGAGUUGUUAUUGUUGGCUUCGACACCACGUCCAACAAGAACAACCAACAAGGAAGCAAAUCUGCAGAAAACAUAAAUUGAGCUGUAAUUUUAUUCUUACAUGAGCAUAUCUUCCCUAGGAAAUAGGUAAGCUUCCUCCUUCAGGAACAGGUCAUAGCAUGGAGGACACCACUGGCUUUUGAUAUGCUGAGCCAUAAAUGUGAAAAAAAAAUGGAACAGAGUGAACAAUUAAAAUUACAGUAAGCUUAUGAUUUCAUUUUAAACUGGUACACCCUGAUGUCAGCCUAUCACUAAACAGAUUUCACCUUCUCAGUCCUUUACAAACUCUAAGCAUUAAAUGGGGCUCUGUAUCUUUAAUCGUUGAAGUGAUUUUCCAACUCACACAAGUAAACCUUUUCCGUAGUGCAGUCUCUUUUUAAGUUAAAAAUAAAACACCCAACUAUUUUCUUUUUCCCACAGACGAGAACAUUAAAACAUUGACAUUUUAAUCUGUUCUAUACAAGAGUGAGUUGUGUCAGCACACUGCUUCCAGCUACAACAACAGAAAAACCCAAGUUUAAUUAAAGACAGAGUGGAGAAGCUGCCUUGUGGUGUCUGAACCACAAAGCUGCAUUGCACAGUCUGUGCGCACUCACCAUCUUCGGCCUCAGCUUCCUCGUGGAUAACUGCCUGGCAGACAAGAGAUGAUGGCAAAGAAAGGGGAGAUGAGAAAAAACGUCUUUCUCAGAGAAAUCAGAAAGGUGAGAAUCAUAACUUUCACAAAUUUUACCCAGAAAAUAGUGAUAGCAUAGCACAAACACCCUUAUCACAAAAACAUUCCGAAGUUAAUCAUGCUGCUGUCAGCCUCAGCUCUUCAGUGCUAGGACUCCUACUGAUCCAUGCCUUAACACUGAACGAAUACGCAUCUCUGCUGACAAGUUCAUUUUCCCAGCAAGUUCCACUGACGUUUUGUUUUUAAUAAUGGAACCACAAAAUUCUGGGUUUCUACUUCCAGAUAAGCAGCAGAACUCCAAGAGACAUUGUCUGCGAGACAGAACCUGACCCUUCUGCAGGGAUCCUCUGGCAGUUCCCCAGCUCCAGCAGGCUGGAGGCCCUGGGGCUGCAGCAGGAGCACAGUGGGGAGGCAAUGGAGGAGGAAGCCUGAGGAGAGCAGAAGUUGUUCCCUCCCCAUUUCCUGCCCAUGAGGUAAAAGAAAAAAUGUUUGCAAAUCUCAGGUUAUGUCUGCCAGUACUUCCUCACUACAAACAGGAACAUCAAGAGUAAGUUUGCAGCAUUGUCCUUCACUUGCUGGAGAAGACGCAGUGCCUAGCACUGUGCUCAAGCGCUCAAUCCUGAUCCCAGAACUUACUUUGGUUCUGAAGCAGGACAAUGGCUCCCUCAAGCAGGAGACAAAUCAAAAUGAGUAGGAGUUGUGUGAAUAGCAACAAAACGGAAAGUGGAGGUGAACCUGGAAAGCAAGCAAAACCAGGAGAAAAAAAAGCAUAGGAACACUCUUCUUUACUAUGAGGAUCUGCAUCUAAUAUUGUUGGCAAAGCUCCGUAACAGACUAAUUUCAAUUAAAAGACGAUAUAUCCUGAAAAUGAACCUGGAGAGGAACAUAUACAACUAAAAGUGCACAACUUGCCUGUGGCUUGUUGUAAGUUAUCUUCCAAACUUUGGUUUUUCAGCUGAAUAAACAAAAUUAUAGAUGGAGGAGGACAAAAAUAUAUAUAAAUUCACCUCAGAAUUUUAUAGAUUGCUUUGUAAAAUCGUUUCCUGCCUAUCUGUCACAUAGAAUAGGAAAGAUACAUAUAUCAAGGAAAACAUAUUCACAUUCUCGGCCAGUUCCUUGAAAACCAAGCCAAACCACAACACCUGACCCCCAAACAAAAACAAAAGCCACUACCACCCAGCUCUCACAAAGACACCUUCAGAACAGGCAGAUUUCCAAACGGAGCUGGGUGCAGGCAGGUUGCCGUGCCUCUGGCCCAGCUUUGCUCCCAGGCUGGUGAGGACAGCCUGCUGGGCCAGGGUCCUGUACCACACAGCCCCCCAGCUGCUGGAACAGCUCCUGCUAGAAUCCCUCCCCGAGAGAAAGAGGAACUCAGUCUCUGCUGGUGGUGGAUCUGUGUUGAGCGUGGAAGCUUGCUCACACACAUGCUUUCCACAAAUGGGCAUGUUCCUCUGUAUUUACAUUUCCAAGCAUGUCUGUAAUGCGUGUGAAUCCUGCAAUUUUUACUGCACAGCAUCACCCUUACCUAAAAUUCAGAUUUGUGAAUGUUAGAUUACAAAGGAGUCUCCAAGAGUGUUUUCCCUGUCUUCUUCUCAAGAAAAAGAAAAUCCUAAGAAAGUCAGUGAAUCCAAGCAGAGGCUUCAGAAGUCUCCUUUCAGGCAAUCAAAGGCAGGAUUUUCCAACCAGGCAGCUGUAGUUCAUUAGAUCCGCCAUGGACCGUGAAAGCCACUUGCCAAUAGUGUCGAAAGACUAUUACUCAUUUCAAUCUCUCUGAAGAGGACAGCUCUCUGACAAAGCAUUAGUGAAAAACAGAGUUUGGGGCUCUGACUGAACAGCCAAGCACACAGACGGAAGCUCAAUGCUGAACAUGACGCCAAAUUUCAAAGGCAGAUUGAUGUCCCAGCUUUUCAUUUGCAGAGAUCAGACCUUCUGUGUAGAUUAUAGAGGGAAUAACAAUAAGCGCGCCAUAUGAUAAUCAUCCUGUACAACCUGACAGAAGCAUAUUCCCAAACAGUUCUCUGCAACCCUUGCUAAUAUCUGCAAUUGGCAGGAGGAAAAAAAAAGUCAAAUCCGCUAACAACUUCUCAUAAUCCAGAGAAAUUAAUCAAAAUAAUUAAGAAAUCUCUCCGAAAUUAAUUUAAAAAUUACAGCAAAAAUAAAGAGGAAGACUGGAAGACACCCAUUUUUUCACUUUCCUGAAUUAAAUUUCCACAUAAAUGAUCACAAGAAUGAGUUCUCAGAAUUGCAGGAUUCUGUAACACACACCUGGAUGGGCUUGGCCCACCCUCGCAUUUGGGAGCAUCUUCCCCUUCAGUUGCUUGCCACGAUCUCACCCCUUCCAAUGCUCUUGCUCUUGUGGCUGCAAGCCUCCCAUUGCUCCCGCAGUGCCGGCAGUAGCACUCCAGACAUUUUAAUAACUGCCUCCUCAUUUCCAGGCAGAGUUAUGCUGUGGUCAGACACCACACGCAUGUGAUAUAUCUCGCAUAGAAGAUAAGUGCAUUUUGGGUCCCGGCUGUUACUACCAUAGACCACACCUAUAAAUAUUCCAAUUCCCAUGACUGGGCACAUGAACGCCGGUAUCUUGUAUGCGAUAGUGGCUAGCAAGAGCUGCCAGAAAUCCAGCAUCUGAACUAGAGAUAAGAUGAUGAUCUCUCCGACAGUGUCUGUUAAUCAAGCCAAUGAACACCCCACCCAAAGCCUCCAUGUAUUAGUACAAAAUCUGAAGCAAUGGAAAGGGCUGAAAAAAAGUUCUCUCCUCAUCCCUGAGGAAUCAAUAAUCCACUUCAUACAGUUCACUCAGAUUCCAUUUUUACAACUGUUUUUUUUUUUUUUUUUUUUUUUUUUUUUUUACAGAUCACCAGAGAGAUCUCAAAUCCCUUUCAUUCCUAACACACACCUUGCUUCAGAAAAGAAAGUUUACAAAAAAUUCUAAUAAAUCAUCAUGCAUAUACAGCAAAUAGCAAAAUCUAAUCAAAUUACAUAAGGAAACGUUUCCUUAGGAUUCCAGAGAAGUGACAGGUUAUGUUUUACAGAAGAGCUGUAUUGCAACACAAGCGAUACUGUGCACACAGUGAAGUUGACUUUUCCAUAAUGCUUUUCUCCAAUUUAAAUACGUUCUCUGAGGAGGACUGACAGCGUGGCCAAUGAGCCAGUAAUUGCCCAGCCUAGAUAAGCAUUGGUUUCCUCUCCGCAUAGGGAAGUAUUUUAGGAAAACCCUUUAAAGACUCCUAUGUCACAAAAGCUACCUUAAAUAACCUUGUUUACAUUUUGUUAAAAAGUCAAACUCUAUUGUACAGAAGCAAGUAGCAAACAACGAUUUCUCUUAUUGUAUGACUGGGUAUCGGAGAGAAUCCUUUCCAAGAGAGUGCCAGAAAAAAAAAAAAAAAAAAAAGACGUUCAUAGUAAAUUUUAUGAGAGAAGGAUAAAAAACAGGUAGUUCAACAGAUUCCUGAAAUCCCAGAAGUGGUCAAUAAAUCGACUUCUGCUUCACAUUAUAUGAAGAGGCUGUACUUAGCAAAUCACUGUGUAAGCUGCCUCAAUAACAGCACUCCUGCUAUCAAGUUUACUUGCAAUGAUUCCAACAAAGAAAUUAAUUUCUUAGAUGACAAGAAAAGGUUAUCUAGAAUGGGGAAGACACAUGAGACAAAAAUUUCCACUAAUAAAACAAAUACCAGACUCUGAACUGAAUUUAAAGCUAUCUUUUUUUCCACUGAAAGAUUUGAAAUCCCUGUAGCCCCAACACCAGCGCUACAAAGGAAACAUCCCUCCAACUGCAUUUCUAAAAAUAGAAGGGAAGCAGAAUGAACCGUCUCUUAUUCAAUAUGUGAUUCACUAAAGCAUCCCCUAUUCCUCAGGAAAGGCCCAUAUCAAGAAAAUAUAUACCGACCCUGCAAUCAAAGUUCUAGACUUAAAAGCAAACCUAACUUACAGCUACUGCUUAAUUUACUUCUUCUCAAUAACAUUAGUGCAAUGCAAGGAAAACUGUAUAUAAAGAACCUUCCAGAUCUCAGAAUAUGCCCUUCUCACACACCUUCCCAGUCUCAUGUUACUGAUUUUAUUGACCUGCUUAUUCCCUAGAGAUAUUCAACAGGUAUCCAUCACCCAUCCGAGUUUCCAUUUGAGUUGCCACAUUUAUUUUUCAUAAAUCUUUCCACAAAGGGACACCAUUUUACUCUGUGGCACUCUUUACUCCUCUUACUGAAACACUUAACCUUCAGUUGUUGCUCACUUCAAGUUUGUCUUAUGCGUAAGAACUGAGCAAAAUUUUGAUCAGUGAGGAAAAUCGUAUGUGUUUUAUAUGCAUCUCAUCAGGAUGUCAAUUAUCAGUACAUGAAAACAGGUGUUUGACACGGAUUUUUAAAGUCAUACAAAGAAGAGGACUGCCCUCCUGUAUGGCCCAGAAAUCUACUCCCACCAGUUCCCUAAAGCAAUUUGAUCAAUUUGAUCAAUCAAUCUGGAUAUCAGUAUCAAAUUAUUAGCCACAGCGCUAGAUGGAUUGAUUACAUUUUACUUGAAUGAUCAAUUUCCGUAGACUUGGUUUUAGCUGUAAAAUUUGCAUUUCUGUAUUUCACAGCUGUAGAAUUUUACAUCAAAAUAUUAAUCAGAUGUAAACCAAAGUGGUCCAUGUGAAAUAACUCAGAGACGUAGGCCUUCAGCUUCUAUCUUACCUUCAUCUCGCCAAAACAUGAUAAGGCCUUGAAGGUCUAAGCAGAGCACUUGAUGCUGUCUUUUUGGACCGUUACAAUGAAGAACUCAAGGAAACCUCAUACUGACGUGGAUGAAUGCAAGCUUAAGUCCCAUGGGAUUCUGAAUCCCCAUGUGAUUCUGCUAGGACAUUCAUAGAUUGAGUAGCUUGAACUAUGCCAAAUGGGAAAGAGUUAAGAUCUAGGUUUUGAUUUCCACGGUGGAUAAACGAAAGGAGAGCUGUUGGGACCAUUAACGCUCAUUUUUAGUGUGCCUUGGAAAACACGAUGUAUGUAAGAGGAUGGAGAGAAACAAUAACUUUUUUUUUUUUUAAAUUUAAAGGAGAUAUGGUGACCUGAUUAACGAUAGUCUAGUCUGUCUGAUACUGUUCUCAGAGUCACAGAAUGGCCAACACAGGGCUCCAGAUAAGAAAGAACUAAAGAGAGUAAUGUAAUGCUAAUUACAUGAAUUUUCAGGAGAUACAUUCUUGGAUUAGCUUAAUUUUUAAUUAUAAGUUUAUUGCUAAUUAAUAGCAUAGAUACAGCAGAUUUUUAUAAGGCAGUUGACUUGAUGAAAAAUGACAUUUGAUUAAGGAACUCAAAAUCAACAUGACACAUCAAGUGGGUUAGGGACAGAUAGGCCUCAAAAUUUAUUUGUAGAUGAGGCUAAACACUCAAUAAAUGUUUCCAGCUUAUAUCAAUUAAAUAUAAAAACAAAAGAGAAUGGGAUCUUUUAUCCUACCUCUGAGAGCCUGACCAGCUCUGUUUAUGCACUGGGGAAAAAAGAGCGUAAGAUGAUUACUGAACAAAUUUACAGAUUACGGAAUGAUGAAAACAAGGAUCAGUGAUAGAAAGGCAUUUAUUUUGCCUGGUAAAGAAGAGCCAAGCAAAGAUCAUAGUUUUUAAUAACGAAAUGUAAGAAAACAUGUCUAAGCUACACAUACAAGCUGGCGGCCUGUCCCGAAAGCAGGGAUUCCAAAAGGUCAUUGAAGAAGAACAUUCUACAGGAGCUUCAGGGAGAUAUUGUCGGUAAACAGGACUAUGGUGAUAAUUUUACUUUCACAUUUCCUACAAAGCUAAAAUUACACAAGCAAGGCUAAGCUGGAAAAACAGCACACAACAGAUGGCAGCAGAUAGGGCCCAAUGCUGCAUAGAAGACAAGAGAGGGCCUGGGGGUGGCACAGAGAAUAAUUCAGAACUGAGUCACAGGGGUCUCUGCCCUCACUUCCUCUUGGUACUAUUACAAGCAUCAGAGGUUCCAGUUUCCUACACUUUUUCCCCAUAGUAUACAUAUACAAAUGGAAGCCUAAAGCAUUUAUAAAAAAAACAAAAACAAAAAACAAAACCCACAGCCGCACAACAACAAGAACAAAGUCCAUAUCAGCUCUUCACAGCAGAUGCACAGCUGAAGAACGUGCUGGUUUGUGCGGGCUGGGGACUGACCAAAACCAAAGGAGAACACGACAGAACAGAUGGAAAGACUGGGCUAAAGUCAUGGACACGCAGCACAUCUGAGCAAAGGCAAGGCUUCAGGAAUAGCCAGAAUAGUCCUCCAGUGAGAUACUGCCAAAAGCAUAGGCAGCAUAUUUCCCUUGAAAAUACAAAGACUACUAAAAUGCCAUUUGCAUCAGUCUUGGCUCAGGAUGGGAAAGUAAGGAGAACUGGCAUGGGAAAGUAUACAUUGUAAGAUACAGUAGCCAAAGAAGAACAAUCUUUGUGUGCGUCGAUACAUUGCAAGUUACUGUCACCGAGCCCUCGCCACCUGCAAGCUGUCCGCCGCACACAGCCUUUGCUCUCACCGGUAUUGCCUUGAUCCCCACUCCGUUAAAACAACAACCCCCUACCCCCAAAGCUACCAAAAUGUUCAUUGAUACAGGAGGAAGGAAGCAGCUGUGCCUCUCCCAGCCAAGCAGGCUGUUACACUGGGAGAAAUUCAAACAUCCGCGAGACAGGGAGGAAGCAGCACGACGGUAUGCCUCUGAGGUCUCAUCACACGUAUAUAGCCAAGCUCUCCUGCUUCUUCCCUUUGUACAAUGCUUUGCAGAUAAUGUACAGUAUUAACAUAUCCUUCUCUGAAAGAAAUCUUUAAAAGCUGUACUUAAGACAAGCUGCUUACAUAUGGUGCAACAAGAUGUUCUGCUGUCAUCAAAGGAACAAAAUUUCACCACAAGUUACACAGCUUUUUUCAUCCGAUUUAUCGAAGUAUCAUGCAGCACUCCGCUGUUCUUCACCUGUUACAAACCCACUCACACAUCCCACCCGGCUGCUGACAACCCCACGGCAGGACACGAGACACACCAACCAUGUCCAGAGCGUGCAUUGCUUUGGUUUGGCCAUAAAUAUAUGAAAAGGAGAGGAAUAAAGAAGCCUCAGAUGAGUUGCCUGGGAUCACUUUAUAUCAACAGCACAGUUCCUUGGUGCUCUUUCACCCAAACCAUCUUUAUCCAUUAUAGAAAGCACGCACCAGCUGAACAAUGGAGGGCCUGAAACAGCGACUGAGGGAACCUAUGAGAUGUGCAAGGAUGCACACAGACACAGCAAAGCUGAGGAACUGCAUCCGAGCCUCCAGGCUCCUGGACUUUAACACUCCUCUUUGAGUCAGGGGUGUUACACAGCCCUGGAAUGGAUGGAGCCGUGGCAGUGCUGGGCGCAGUGGGGAUUCCUUAGGUCCAACACUGCAGUCGUUCUCAGCAGCAGCUACAGCUGAACCACGUUGAACAGUUCACAGCGAUUUCAGCCAUUUUCAAACCAGGAACAGCAUUACUUCUGUAGCUGUGAUUAACCAACAGUUCCAAUACUUUCGGUAGUGGAAAUCUCCCUUCUGUUAGAAAGAUUUGUACACCAUGACAGAGCCACCUAGAAUCCCCAACCCAAGUUUGUCUAAAUACAGCCAACCCACCUGCGAGCAGAGCUCCAGCUCCAGCGAUGACAUUGUGGUUUCCCUGUCUACCAUCCGCCUCCCUCCAACAUCAAUAUACUUCAGAGUCUGAAGGGACACUCAAACAAAGCUGGAGGGACAGGCAGGAAUCAAUGGCAAAACAAAAACAAACAGCUUUCAAAUGAUUUUGGACUCCUUAAAAGUGGGGAGUUCUUAUUUUUAGACUGCACACAAGUCUAGCUCAAGGUGCUUUUUCCUUCAUCCCCAUGACAGUAGUUAAGUGAAUACACCUGCCUCUCCUCCCUCCCUUCUGAUGGUAAACAGAAGGUCUUGCAUUUAGGGUACAACGUGGAAUACUUCAGAGCAGCCCUGUGCCAAAAUGGCACAUUUCUGAGAGAUGCAAAGGUAUUCAAUAAAAAGCUUUUAAAGGCAUAUUUUUAAACUUGCAGCAGGAAAGCUUUUCUGUGUCAAGACAGUAAUUCUUUUAACAGCAUUGAUCAAAAUGUCAUUCUUUUAUGAGUGUACAAUACCUUUUAAUGGCAUACAACAAGCCAUUAGGGUUAUACACCUCCGUACGGCAGACAGCUUACUGGAAAAAUGGGAACACUGGCCAAGAGACAGCCACCAGUCUUUGUGCUUCUAAGAAGGCAGCUUCGUUCAUUUACCUAGCUCUAUUUCAUCCCAGUACCCACAAAUGAAAUGAUCCCCAAAUUAAGCUGAACUUCUCAUCUCUUUCACCUAACAGUUACUUUCGCUGUAACCUACUUACUUUCUCCUAAGAAAUACCUCCUAAAAAUACAAUGAAUAUUCUGGCUUUCUAAAAUUGGAUUUUAUCACCAAGGUCACAUCCACUUCUUUCUUCUCACCGGCGAUCAUACUUAUCCCCAGAUCAGCUCCGACUGAAGAAUCAAAGGUGGUUGAAUUGCACAUAAUGGUUUUGAUUCUCAGAAACAGGAAAAAGAAACCACACGCCCUUUCCUUACACUCUGAGACUUGGGACAGAAUCUGUCUACAAAUCAUCCAAUUCUUUUCAAGUGCACCAACCCUUCAGAAAGGGUAAGAGCACUGGUGAUUGCAUUUGCUCUGCUUGAAUGGAAGGCAAGCGUGGACUCCCUAGAUGCAUUCAGCAGCACUUUAUAGCCUUAUUUUAGUUACCAACAUCAGCAGGAAAGGGAAUGAUUUCUAUCAAUCCAUCUUCAAGGGGUUUUACUGUAAGGGUGGGAAAAUACAUAUGGGAUUUAAUCCUCUAUGUUAAUUGAGCUGUGGCAGCACCAAAGGAACUUUAUUUCUCUCUUUGAAAUACAAAUGGAUAGUACCACCAUCUUCUCAGCUGUUUUUGAGAGCGUACCUGAGACACUGGUAUAAGCAAAUGAAGAACAAUUCCUGAUUAAAACGUGAGGAAAACUGAUGAGAAACAGGAAACAGAAGAAAUUUGAGGCUAUAUAAAGCAAAAGCUGGAGUGAAUUUAAUCUCAGUUAAGAAAAGCUUACGGGGCUGCUGGAUCUUCCUUCAGCUCUUCGGUUCGGUAAUGCAAAGCGCUGCUGUGCCCGUGCCAUCCCGCUACCAGCCAGCUGCUGCAGCCCUCACCACCAUCACACGCAGAGUUUAACACGAAAGUUGGAUUUUUCACGCCAUCUUUAAACAUACAUAAACUCAGCUGAAAACAAUUUACGCUUCAUGAGAUGCCAUUAUGUUAGACGAUACCACAAGGCCGCCUGCCCUGCAUUCAUUAUUAAACAGAGCCAAAUACAAAGAGGUGUCUCCAGGGAGUUACCGGGUCACCCACAAAGAGCGUGACGGCACCGCUGGUCACUGGGACCGAAACCCAACCAGAACCAGACACGAGACCUACACAUACGCAGCACGAACAUAACGAUGCUGCACUCAAACAGCAGACGCAGCACAUUCUGGCUAAUGCUACACUAAGAGCAAAGCUGCAAGAGCUCAAGCACACCGAGGGGAUGAUGACCAUUGUGGAAGAUGGCUGCGACGCGGACGGGGCUGCCCCGCAAGCAGCAGCACACGAGCGCCGCUCACAGCGCUGCCCGCUCCCACUGCUGUAUUUACCGCCUCUGUACAAUCCCUCCCUGCGCGAUUCCUUGUGGAUUGAACAAUGAAAUUUGUAAAACAAAGCUUAGAAUAGUUUCUGGAAGGCAGUAUAACCAGGAAUAUAGCAGCUGUCUCAAGCAAGCUGCGCUGGCUUCAUGGUUGACAGGGACCGGUUUCCCAGUACUAUGCACCAUACAUUAGAGUUGCUCUUCCAGCUGUAGUCUAGAGAGCGCGUAUUCAGGUGCACGCUUUUGAAAACAAGCAACAUGCUGCGUUAUUAGAUGGACAUUGACUCCUGCACCGCAUCUUGUGAUCAAAAUUAAUUUCUUACUGAAUUACACAAAAUUCUGUGCAAUAAGCUUUGCGGCAGGAUGAAGUGACUGCCAUCCCGCUCACCGAGGUGAGGAACCGCCCCCUCCUCUCGCACCUGACACCAGCAGCCGCGCUCCAACCCGGCGCACGGAACUCCGGAGCGGAUCGAGCCGCCCCUGUUUGGCGGCGCCACCGCCCAAUCCCGGGGAGGGCGACGCGAAGCCCCGCCCCGCGGCAUCAGGAAACCAAUCAGCACUCAAGAAGGGUAGGGGCGGUGCUCGCUGCUUCCCGCCUGCGAGUCCUCGCGAGCCCGCUGGUUCCGGACGCGUUGAUUGACGCGAGCGUUGUCCAACAGAAGCUCGGACGCGGGCUCUCGCGCGCCGACGGUUGGGCAGCAGAGGAAAGGGGAGGGGUUGCCGACGAAGCUCGGGGGACGCGGUCGGAGCGCCGGUUGCCAUAGCGACGGGCGGUCUGUGCCCGGAGUCGCGCUCCCUUGGGCUGCGGCUCCCCGCUCGGCCGGUGCCUUGGGAAGCUUUCCUAAAUGCUAAGCGUCCUUCUGAACGGCGCGUCGUUACGGUGGCGGAGAGCAACACAACCGCGAGCACGGCCCUCGGUGCGACUCCUCCCCGGGCGCGCUCGUGGCAGGCUGCGGCACGUGGGGCCGCGAGGGCGGCUGCCCGCGUUGUGCCUGUGAAAGCCGUUGGGGCAGCUGCUGCCGCCGGACCAAACGCAGAUCUAACCCGAGCCGGGGGAAGCACGCGGCCGCAGCAGGGCCUGGCUGGCUCUGGCUCACCCUUCAGAGCAGGGCAGUCGGUUUCAGCAAUGAGAAGGUGGAAGAGAUGGCAUGAAGGCAGGUGGAGAGAAAGGCGAGGUGGGGAACUGGGAAACCUGCGUGACUGUAUUUAUAAGGCCACAUAGAAAACCCAAUCACCAUAGGAAAAUGAAAAAGAGUGAUUUACAGACAAAUGCUAAAUCAUAGGAAACAAAUGAGCACCUGACAAGGCUGCCCCAGCACUCCUGGUAGAGAAGCAGGAGUGAAUCAAGCUUACUGGAAUCCUAAAGGUGUGAAUAAUGACACUGGAGCUGCCAUUCCUUCUGGCCAUAGCUCCUUGUUAGCAGCAUGAAGCUUGACUGGGCUGGGGAUUGCCUGCAGUGAUGGAGCUGGGAAACAAAGUGAGAAAAAAGCACUGCAGUCUGAAGGAGAAAAGCAAUGGAAAUUCACUUCCUUUUCCUUCCUCAGAACUGAAGUAUGACAGCAAAACACGAGAAUGCCUUGGUACUUUGUCUUGCUUUGAAAAGAAAUGAAGGAAAACAAACAAUUUUGUAAUAAAAAUGUAAUAUCCUUUUCUGGGGCUUCGCAAUCAAAGCAGCUUUAUAAACUAUUUGUGCAUGCGUACUAACCCUGCACUAAUCCCACUGGCCUCAGGCACACAAGAUGCUUAUGAAAUAGCAGGACAGUUUCUACUACAGGACACAUCUAUUUUCUAGCUCAUCAGAAGGCCAAGCAAAAGAACCAGACUCAGUGGACCAUCACCACCACUGCACGAAAAAAAAUCCAACAAAACCAUUAAAAAGGAGCUCAACUGCAAAAUAUUGCUGUAUCCAAGUACAUCAGUGAAAUACAAGAUAUUGUAUGUAUGGGAUAAUAUCAUGGUUCAGUACUGGGAAUGGGCAUCCAGUUCCUGAUUCUUUUUCCAGUCUAGGAUAACACUUUAAUGCGUGAAGUCCAGCGAUACAGAAAGAAAACAAGAGGACUGAGGGGAUUAGAGCACAGUUGUGGCCACUGCUGAGUACUAGUCAUUACAAUAAAAUUGCAUAAUAAUUGCUACUGCACACAA